GAUGAACGCUGGCGGCGUGCUUAACACAUGCAAGUCGAACGGGAAAUAUUUCAUUAAGACUUCGGUGGAUUUGAUUUAUUUCUAGUGGCGGACGGGUGAGUAACGCGUGGGUAACCUGCCUUAUACAGGGGGAUAACAGUCAGAAAUGGCUGCUAAUACCGCAUAAGCGCACAGAGCUGCAUGGCUCAGUGUGAAAAACUCCGGUGGUAUAAGAUGGACCCGCGUUGGAGUAGCUAGUUGGUGGGGUAACGGCCCACCAAGGCGACGAUCCAUAGCCGGCCUGAGAGGGUGAACGGCCACAUUGGGACUGAGACACGGCCCAGACUCCUACGGGAGGCAGCAGUGGGGAAUAUUGCACAAUGGGGGAAACCCUGAUGCAGCGACGCCGCGUGAAGGAAGAAGUAUCUCGGUAUGUAAACUUCUAUCAGCAGGGAAGAUAGUGACGGUACCUGACUAAGAAGCCCCGGCUAACUACGUG
rnacentral:rRNA from 1 species